CCUGCGCCGAAGAUUUCCGGGGCUAAAACUUACUACCGAAGCUACGGCAUCAGUAAUGAUGGGUAGGGGAGCUUCCCAUACGGGUUGAAGCAUGACCGUAAGGACAUGGGGACAGUAUGGGAGUGAGAAUGUUGGCAUGAGUAGCGAGAUGUGGGUGAGAAUCCCACAGGCCGUAAACCCAAGGUUUCCAGGGGAAGGUUCGUCCGCCCUG
rnacentral:rRNA from 1 species